GUAUUUGGGUGUUUUAAUCAAAGUUAAAACUUCACAUCUUCUCUAUAAAAUAUAUUGUAUUUCAUUUCUCUCAUCAUAAAACAACAUAUAGAAGUGGAAUGAAUUUUUCCGCAGGACCCACAUAGAUAAUCCAAACCCCUUCCAGCUUUUCUUCAGUGUGCAAUUCCAAUAUUUUAGGCAUAUACCAUGGCAUGUAUAAGGUUGGUAAUCACUGAGUUAGAGGUCUGGUUAAGAAAUUUAUGGAAUACAACACGGCUAGAAAAAGACUGAAGCCCACAUGAGUUGAUAACUGUUGAAACUGCGUGAUGAGUACAUGGGGAUUCACGUGUAAAUAUGGAAACGUCUGUAAGAUAUAUUAUUUAGGUGAAAAAUGCAAGGCAAAGUGUGUCUACAAGUUAUUGUGUAAAAAAAAAAAAGGGAGGACCAAAAUGUAUUUGUAUUUACGUAUUUGCCUGUAUGUGAAAAGGAUAUCAAUAAUCUGGGGAAGGACUUGAGUGGGUAGGGUGGGGGACAGGGGACAGGAACAUGUCGGUGGGGAGGGGCUGGAGGCUUUGGUCUUAAAUUAAGGAAGGAGAGAGGUGGUCCUGAGCUCUGGCAAAGGUGUAGCAAGCUCUGAAUCGGUACCGAAGGGUUGGGAGAGUUGAGGUCCUCUCGAUAGGCAGGGUGGAGGAUGGAGGACCGGAGCACACUGGCCGGGAGGGUCGUGGGUGUCACGGAAGGGCAGCUUAGGGGUGGGCAUGGCUUCCAGGUCGCAAACCCCGGCCACCAGGGGACAGUCAAGCCUUCUCCUGAAAGCGGGUGGGCGGAGCCCCCGGGCCAGGUCCUUCCCUAGCCCUGCCCCCAGCGGGAGCGCCCGCCCCUGUAGGCCUGGCUGGCUUCCCCAGACCUCGCUCGGACCUCCGGCUGCAGCUGCGUGGGAUUCGGUGAGGUGCACCUCCUCCCUUCUUCUGGGUUUUUGGACUUUCACUCACACCACAAAUAUUUACUGAGCGCAUACCAUGCUCCAACAGCAGUGCUGGAGACGCAGCAAUGCACAAGACAAACAAGGCCAGACUGACUUCAGCUAGAUGUCUGCCCAGAGGUAGCCAACUGAACAGUGUGGGUCACUCUGCAGCCGCCUGCAAUCCUGGAGAAGGAGAAGAAAAAACCUGGCCCAAGAAUGCCUCAGGGCACCAGCUCAGGUGCCAGGGGACCACCAUCUUGCCAGGGGUGAAAUGCAGUCCCUGAAUGAAGCUGACCAGUCCUCUAAUUCCCAUCCUUCUCCUCUCUGCCUCCCACGUUUCCACACUUCCUCCUAGCGAUGUGACUGAGUAGGUUACUCCAUCUCUCUGGCCCACAGCGUCCUCACUUGUUAAAUAACAAUAAAGUAAUACCUGUGUUAUGGAA